rfam:Enterobacteria phage 4MG, complete genome.
GGGCGAUUGAUGGAAUUGGUAUACGUGUCGGAUUUAGAUUCCGAAUUUUGGGGGUUCGAGUCCCCUGUCGCCCA